rnacentral:rRNA from 1 species
AGUCGAGGGGCAGCGGGGCGGCAGGCUUGCCUGCCGUUGCCGGCGACCGGCGCACGGGUGAGUAACACGUAUGCAACCUGCCCGUGGCAGGGGGAUAAGCGGGGGAAACCCCGUCUAAUACCGCGUAACGCGGCCAUGGGGCAUCCCCGGGCCGCCAAAGGGAGCAAUCCCGGCCACGGAUGGGCAUGCGGCGCAUUAGCUAGUCGGCGGGGUAACGGCCCACCGAGGCGACGAUGCGUAGGGGUUCUGAGAGGAAGGCCCCCCACACUGGUACUGAGACACGGACCAGACUCCUACGGGAGGCAGCAGUGAGGAAUAUUGGUCAAUGGGCGCGAGCCUGAACCAGCCAAGUCGCGUGAGGGAUGACGGCUCUACGGGUUGUAAACCUCUUUUGCCGGGGAGCAACGGGCGCCACGAGUGGCGCCACUGAGAGUACUCGGAGAAAAAGCAUCGGCUAACUCCGUGCCAGCAGCCGCGGUAAUACGGAGGAUGCGAGCGUUAUCCGGAUUUAUUGGGUUUAAAGGGUGCGUAGGCGGAUCGUUAAGUCAGUGGUCAAAUUGAGGGGCUCAACCCCUUCCCGCCAUUGAAACUGGCGCUCUUGAGUGGAAGAGAAGUAUGCGGAAUGCGUGGUGUAGCGGUGAAAUGCAUAGAUAUCACGCAGAACCCCGAUUGCGAAGGCAGCAUGCCGGCUUCCUACUGACGCUGAAGCACGAAAGCGAGGGGAUCGAACAGGAUUAGAUACCCUGGUAGUCCACGCGGUAAACGAUGAGCGCUAGGUGUCCGGGGGGAAUGGCCCCUGGGUGCCACAGCGAAAGCGUUA